rnacentral:rRNA from 1 species
GACGAACGCUGGCGGCGUGCUUAACACAUGCAAGUCGAACGGUGAAGGCGGAGCUUGCUCUGCCGGAUCAGAGGCGAACGGGUGAGUAACACGUGGGCAACCUGCCCCUCACUUCGGGAUAACUCCGGGAAACCGGGGCUAAUACCGGAUACGACCUCCUUGGGCAUCUUUGGAGGUGGAAAGUUUUUCGGUGAGGGAUGGGCCCGCGGCCUAUCAGCUUGUUGGGGAGGUAGUGGCUCACCAAGGCGACGACGGGUAGCCGGCCUGAGAGGGCGACCGGCCACACUGGGACUGAGACACGGCCCAGACUCCUACGGGAGGCAGCAGUGGGGAAUAUUGCGCAAUGGGCGAAAGCCUGACGCAGCAACGCCGCGUGCGGGAUGAAGGCCUUCGGGUUGUAAACCGCUUUCAGCAGGGAAGAAGCCGCAAGGUGACGGUACCUGCAGAAGAAGCACCGGCUAACUACGUGCCAGCCGCCGCCGUAA